AGAGUUUGAUCCUGGCUCAGAAUCAACGCUGGCGGCGUGCCUAACACAUGCAAGUCGAACGAGAAAGGGUAGCAAUACCUGAGUAAAGUGGCGCACGGGUGAGUAACACGUGACUAACCUACCCUGGAGUGGGGGAUAACUGAGGGAAACCUUAGCUAAUACCGCAUAAUACCUACGGGUCAAAGGAGCAAUUCGCUUUGGGAGGGGGUCGCGGCCGAUUAGUUAGUUGGCGGGGUAAUGGCCCACCAAGACUGUGAUCGGUAUCCGGCCUGAGAGGGCGCACGGACACACUGGAACUGAAACACGGUCCAGACUCCUACGGGAGGCAGCAGUGGGGAAUUUUGCGCAAUGGGGGAAACCCUGACGCAGCAACGCCGCGUGGAGGAUGAAGUACUUCGGUACGUAAACUCCUUUCGAUCGGGACGAUAAUGACGGUACCGGAAGAAGAAGCCCCGGCUAACUUCGUGCCAGCAGCCGCGGUAAUACGAGGGGGGCAAGCGUUGUUCGGAAUUAUUGGGCGUAAAGGGUGCGUAGGCGGUUUGGUAAGUCUUGUGUGAAAUCUCCGGGCUCAACUCGGAGUCUGCACAGGAAACUGCCGGGCUUGAGUAUGGGAGAGGUGAGUGGAAUUUCCGGUGUAGCGGUGAAAUGCGUAGAUAUCGGAAGGAACACCUGUGGCGAAAGCGGCUCACUGGACCAUAACUGACGCUGAUGCACGAAAGCUAGGGGAGCAAACAGGAUUAGAUACCCUAGUAGUCC
rnacentral:rRNA from 1 species